UGUGAGAAUUUUCCUUUUUACUGCCAAAGA
rnacentral:piRNA from 1 species